CUGAAACACUAGUUUCCAUCCAAUCACCAAAGUUAAGCAAUGUUGACCUUGAUCAUUACUUAGAUGGGUGACUAUGUAGGAAUACCAGGUGCUGUAAG